rnacentral:rRNA from 1 species
UACGAAGGGGGCUAGCGUUGUUCGGAAUUACUGGGCGUAAAGCGCACGUAGGCGGGUUGUUAAGUCCGGGGUGAAAUCCUGGAGCUCAACUCCAGAACUGCCUUUGAUACUGGCAACCUAGAGACUGGAAGAGGUUAGUGGAAUUCCCAGUGUAGAGGUGAAAUUCGUAGAUAUUGGGAAGAACACCAGUGGCGAAGGCGGCUAACUGGUCCAGCACUGACGCUGAGGUGCGAAAGCCAGGGGAGCAAACGGG